GCUGUGAUGUCAGCCACAGGCCGCAGGCGGUGGCCGGCCCAGUGUGAACGACAGCCAUCCCCCGGGCCUGGCCUUGCCCACAAGAUUCCCAGAUUUCACAACCGGGGCUGGCGCUGAAUCAUGUACACUUCCUGAUCUGGAGGAUGGGCAUAAUCACACGACUGACCUCCUGGGGCCCGUGCGAGGAUUAAAUGAGAUGAUCCAGUGCUGAGCACAGUCAGUGCCAGACAAGCGGGACUGUUGCUGUUGUGGUGUCAGAGUUCCCCAGGACACGGUUUGAAAGACUCCGGAGAAAUCAUUCAGUCCUUGGGGGAGCCCUCCCCGCUCCCUGCCCCCUAGAACACCCACCCCUUUCCUGGUGACCCAGAUGAUUCUUAUUUUUAAAAACGUCUUUAUUACAUCAGCAAGUAUCUGUUGAGCACCGCUGUGUUCUACUGGGUCCUGGAAAUACAGCAGUGAAUAAAAAAGAAAAAAGAAAAAGAA